rnacentral:rRNA from 1 species
CCUACGGGAGGCAGCAGUGAGGAAUAUUGGACAAUGGGCGCAAGCCUGAUCCAGCCAUGCCGCGUGCAGGAUGAAGCAUCUAUGGUGUGUAAACUGCUUUUAUACAGGAAGAAACCUCCCGACGUGUCGGGAAUUGACGGUACUGUAAGAAUAAGGAUCGGCUAACUCCGUGCCAGCAGCCGCGGUAAUACGGAGGAUCCAAGCGUUAUCCGGAAUCAUUGGGUUUAAAGGGUCCGUAGGCGGGCCAGUAAGUCAGUGGUGAAAUCUCUCCGCUCAACGGGGAAAUGGCCAUUGAUACUGCUGGUCUUGAAUUAUUAGGAAGUAACUAGAAUAUGUAGUGUAGCGGUGAAAUGCUUAGAGAUUACAUGGAAUACCAAUUGCGAAGGCAGGUUACUACUAAUGGAUUGACGCUGAUGGACGAAAGCGUGGGUAGCGAACAGGAUUAGAUACCCUGGUAGUCCACGCCGUAAACGAUGGAUACUAGCUGUUGGGGGCAACUUCAGUGGCUAAGCGAAAGUGAUAAGUAUCCCACCUGGGGAGUACGUUCGCAAGAAUGAAACUCAAAGGAAUUGACGG